UACGUAGGGUGCAAGCGUUGUCCGGAAUUAUUGGGCGUAAAGAGCUCGUAGGCGGUUUGUUGCGUCGGCUGUGAAAUCCCGAGGCUCAACCUCGGGUCUGCAGUCGAUACGAGCAAACUAGAGUGUUGCAGGGGAGACUGGAAUUCCUGGUGUAGCGGUGAAAUGCGCAGAUAUCAGGGAGGAACACCGGUGGCGAAAGGCGGGGUCUCUGGGGCAACAACUGACGCUGAGGAGCGAAAGCGUGGGGGAGCGAACAGG
rnacentral:rRNA from 1 species